rnacentral:miRNA from 1 species
AUACUGACACACACUGCAUUCGCUACACAUUAACACACUCUGCAUUCACUACACUAACACACACUCUGCAGAGUGUGUUAAUGUGUAGCGAAUGCAGUGUGUGUCAGUAU